rnacentral:rRNA from 1 species
GAUUAACGCUGGCGGCGUGCCUAAUACAUGCAAGUCGAGCGAACGGACGAGAAGCUUGCUUUUCUGAUGUUAGCGGCGGACGGGUGAGUAACACGUGGAUAACCUACCUAUAAGACUGGGAUAACUUCGGGAAACCGGAGCUAAUACCGGAUAAUAUUUUGAACCGCAUGGUUCAACAGUGAAAGACGGUCUUGCUGUCACUUAUAGAUGGAUCCGCGCUGCAUUAGCUAGUUGGUAAGGUAACGGCUUACCAAGGCAACGAUGCAUAGCCGACCUGAGAGGGUGAUCGGCCACACUGGAACUGAGACACGGUCCAGACUCCUACGGGAGGCAGCAGUAGGGAAUCUUCCGCAAUGGGCGAAAGCCUGACGGAGCAACGCCGCGUGAGUGAAGAAGGUCUUCGGAUCGUAAAACUCUGUUAUUAGGGAAGAACAAAUGUGUAAGUAACUAUGCACGUCUUGACGGUACCUAAUCAGAAAGCCACGGCUAACUACGUG